UGGGAAUUUUGGACAAUGGGCGAAAGCCUGAUCCAGCAAUGCCGCGUGUGUGAAGAAGGCCUUCGGGUUGUAAAGCACUUUUGUCCGGAAAGAAAUCCUUGGCUCUAAUACAGUCGGGGGAUGACGGUACCGGAAGAAUAAGCACCGGCUAACUACGUGCCAGCAGCCGCGGUAAUACGUAGGGUGCAAGCGUUAAUCGGAAUUACUGGGCGUAAAGCGUGCGCAGGCGGUUUGCUAAGACCGAUGUGAAAUCCCCGGGCUCAACCUGGGAACUGCAUUGGUGACUGGCAGGCUAGAGUAUGGCAGAGGGGGGUAGAAUUCCACGUGUAGCAGUGAAAUGCGUAGAGAUGUGGAGGAAUACCGAUGGCGAAGGCAGCCCCCUGGGCCAAUACUGACGCUCAUGCACGAAAGCGUGGGGAGCAAACAGGAUUAGAUACCCUGGUAGUCCACGCCCUAAACGAUGUCAACUAGUUGUUGGGGAUUCAUUUCCUUAGUAACGUAGCUAACGCGUGAAGUUGACCGCCUGGGGAGUACGGUCGCAAGAUUAAAACUCAAAGGAAUUGACGGGGUCAUAGCUG
rnacentral:rRNA from 1 species